rnacentral:rRNA from 1 species
AUUGAACGCUGGCGGCAGGCUUAACACAUGCAAGUCGAGCGGGGGAAGGUAGCUUGCUACCGGACCUAGCGGCGGACGGGUGAGUAAUGCUUAGGAAUCUGCCUAUUAGUGGGGGACAACAUCUCGAAAGGGAUGCUAAUACCGCAUACGUCAUACGGGAGAAAGCAGGGGAUCUUCGGACCUUGUGCUAAUAGAUGAGCCUAAGUCGGUUUAGCUAGUUGGUGGGGUAAAGGCCUACCAAGGCGACGAUCUGUAGCGGGUCUGGGAGGAUGAUCCGCCACACCGGGACUGAGACACGGCCCAGACUCCUACGGGAGGCAGCAGUGGGGAAUAUUGGACAAUGGGGGGAACCCUGAUCCAGCCAUGCCGCGUGUGUGAAGAAGGCCUUAUGGUUGUAAAGCACUUUAAGCGAGGAGGAGGCUACUUUAGUUAAUACCUAGAGGUAGUGGACGUUACUCGCAGAAUAAGCACCGGCUAACUCUGUGCCAGCAGCCGCCGUAA